rnacentral:antisense_RNA from 1 species
UUUGAGCGAACCGAUGCGCAGCGGCUCGUCGCGGUCCUGACCGUAGGCGGCGAUCAGCGCCUGCGCCUC